UAGGUGGUGGGGGUAAGCCUCCAGGGGAAGUUUUAGGGGUUUGGGGGAGAUUCCCCCCAAUGGGAUGGGACCGGCCCAGAUUCUUAGGGAGCAGCAGUGGGGAAUAUUGACAUGGGGGCAGCCUGAUCCAGCCAUCCGGGUGUGGGAGCAGGCCUUAUGGUUGCAAAGCACUUUAAGGGAGGAGGAGGUUACUUUAGUUAAUACCUAGAGAUAGUGGAUGUUACUCGCAGAAUAAGCACCGGCUAAUUUGUGCCAGCAGCCGCGGUAAUACAGAGGGUGCAAGCGUUAAUUCGGAUUUACUGGGCGUAAAGCGCGCGUAGGCGGCUAAUUAAGUCAAAUGUGACAUCCCCGAGCUUAACUUGGGAAUUGCAUUCGAUACUGGUUAGCUAGAGUGUGGGAGAGGAUGGUAGAAUUCCAGGUGUAGCGGUGAAAUGCGUAGAGAUCUGGAGGAAUACCGAUGGCGAAGGCAGCCAUCUGGCCUAACACUGACGCUGAGGUGCGAAAGCAUGGGGAGCAAACAGGAUUAGAUACCCUGGUAGUCCAUGCCGUAAACGAUGUCUACUAGCCGUUGGGGCCUUUGAGGCUUUAGUGGCGCAGCUAACGCGAUAAGUAGACCGCCUGGGGAGUACGGUCGCAAGACUAAAACUCAAAUGAAUUGACGGGGGCCCGCACAAGCGGUGGAGCAUGUGGUUUAAUUCGAUGCAACGCGAAGAACCUUACCUGGCCUUGACAUAGUAAGAACUUUCCAGAGAUGGAUUGGUGCCUUCGGGAACUUACAUACAGGUGCUGCAUGGCUGUUGUCAGCUCGUGUCGUGAGAUGUUGGGUUAAGUCCCGCAACGAGCGCAACCCUUUUCCUUAUUUGCCAGCGAGUAAUGUCGGGAACUUUAAGGAUACUGCCAGUGACAAACUGGAGGAAGGCGGGGACGACGUCAAGUCAUCAUGGCCCUUACGGCCAGGGCUACACACGUGCUACAAUGGUCGGUACAAAGGGUUGCUACCUAGCGAUAGGAUGCUAAUCUCAAAAAGCCGAUCGUAGUCCGGAUUGGAGUCUGCAACUCGACUCCAUGAAGUCGGAAUCGCUAGUAAUCGCGGAUCAGAAUGCCGCGGUGAAUACGUUCCCGGGCCUUGUACACACCGCCCGUCACACCAUGGGAGUUUGUUGCACCCAGAAGUAGCUUAGCCUUAAGU
rnacentral:rRNA from 1 species